rnacentral:rRNA from 1 species
GACGAACGCUGGCGGCGUGCCUAAUACAUGCAAGUCGAGCGGACUUGACAGAGCUUGCUCUGUUCAAGUUAGCGGCGGACGGGUGAGUAACACGUGGGCAACCUGCCCUGCAGAUUGGGAUAACUCCGGGAAACCGGGGCUAAUACCGAAUAACAUUGGAAACCUCAUGGUUUCCUUUUAAAAGGCGGCUUCGGCUGUCACUGCAGGAUGGGCCCGCGGCGCAUUAGCUAGUUGGUGAGGUAACGGCUCACCAAGGCGACGAUGCGUAGCCGACCUGAGAGGGUGAUCGGCCACACUGGGACUGAGACACGGCCCAGACUCCUACGGGAGGCAGCAGUAGGGAAUCUUCCGCAAUGGACGAAAGUCUGACGGAGCAACGCCGCGUGAGUGAAGAAGGUUUUCGGAUCGUAAAACUCUGUUGUCAGGGAAGAACAAGUAUGGGAGUAACUGCCCGUACCUUGACGGUACCUGGCCAGAAAGCCACGGCUAACUACGUGCCAGCCGCCGCGGUAACAC